UACGUAGGGUGCAAGCGUUAAUCGGAAUACUGGGCGUAAAGCGUGCGCAGGCGGUUAUGUAAGACAGAUGUGAAAUGCCCGGGCUUAACCUGGGAACUGCAUUUGUGACUGCAUGGCUAGAGUUUUGGCAGAGGGUGAGAAUUCCACGUGUAGCAGUGAAAUGCGUAGAUAUGUGGAGGAACACCGAUGGCGAAGGCAGCCCCUGGGUCAAGACUGACGCUCAUGCACGAAAGCG
rnacentral:rRNA from 1 species